UGAGAAUGAGGGAUGCUCCUGUCCAGAAGAAUGAGGGCUCCUUCAAUGGAGUCCCUGCAUGAGGCAGAAUAGGGAAGUAUCUACAGGAACAGGAAGAAAGCAUGACCAUUGUCCUGUCCUCUGUCUCUACCCCCUGGCCCGGGUACAAGCACCAGUGUGGGCCAGGAGGUAUCCUGGGGCCAGGAAAUGCAAACUCAUGUCAGGCUGCAGACAGCCCCACCACAGCUUGGGAUGAGUCUUGAAGCUGGGGUGAGGGGGUUAGGGCCCCAGGGUGAGCAGUUUGAAACCUCCUUCCCCAGGGGAGGCCUAGUGCCCUCUUUCAAGGCCUAAGCUAAGAACUGGGGACAACUGCUCCACUCCUGUGGUGGUUCAGGCAAGUGCCCACAAUUAUCUUAGCCCCUUGGCUCUACACUCCCCUACCUCAUCCACUUCUUUGGGCUGUUAGGACUCUCCUGAGGCUUAUAAGAGGCUUCUUUAGGGUUAAAUGGCAGCUCUGGUGGGAAGGAUAUGAGACUGAGUCCCAGAGUCAUGACUUCCUGGCUCUGGCCUGUACCUUGUUUCCUCACCUGAAGAACAAGAAUGACAAGGGCCAUCUUGUAGGACUUCGGAAAAUGGGAGAAGGGAAUGCUCUCUCCACAGAUCUUUGCAUGAGUGCCUCCUGCUGCUUGUCAUUCAAGUCUCAGACCAAAAGUCACCUCCUCAGAGAAGCGCUCCCUGACAACUCUGGCAAAUGUUCGUCAUCUGAAAUUAUUAGUCCCCAGGACCAGGGCUCGGGCCAGGAGGCUGGACCCUGGCAUCAGACCAUGCGGUUAUGGAAGCCUCUUCUCUGACCAUUUCACAGAUGAGGCUGAAGUCUUCCAGAGGAGGAAGAACAGCCGGUGGUGGUCCUGGAGGUGCUCCAGCUUGGAUUUCGCCACACUGGGAAGCCAAAGGAGGGACUUCUUCCUGGAGAACUGUGGCAUUUGCCACGUUAGAGAUUGUCCUGGUCCAUUUGAAGAUGGGGAGGCGGUGGGGGGGAUGGCAUCCCUGGUUUUUGAGAGAAUCAGUUGGAGACCAGUUCCUAAACGGCCCCAACUUCUGCCAUUGCUUUUUAUUUCCAAGCUGGUAUCGGCACAUGUGGAUCAUUGUAUUGUACUCCAGGCAUUGUUUGCGUGUUUGAACCAUUUCCUUAAUAAAAACGAUAAAUAAAAUAAUUUAAAAAUACCAACAAUCAUGUGUGAUUCCAUGUCUAUGAAAUAUCUAAAAUAGGCAAAUGAGUAGGGAUAAAAGUGGAUCUGUGUUUAUGCGGGGCUGAGGGGAGAGGGGAUGGAGAGUUAUUGCAUAAUGGUACAGAGUUUCUGUUCAGGGCGAGGACAACUUUUGGAAACAGAUAGUGGCGAUGAUUGUAGAAGACAAUAAAUGUAAUUAAUGUCACUAAAGCUGCUCACUUAAAAUGGUUAAAACGGCCAGGAAGCUGGUAGGGUGCCACCACCCGCCUUUCAGAGGUGACUCUCCAGCCAGAAGAGUGAGAAUGGCAGGAUUUCUUCCCCAGGGAAGUGCUUGUGUGUGUGUGUUUGAGCGUGAAAGUGUGUGUGUGUGUGUGUGCCUGUGUGUUUCCAGAUGUCCUUGUUUUCUCUCCUGAAGCUGCAGACUGCACUCCUCUCCCUCCCCAGGCAUGGGCAUUUGUUCAAGGUUCUAGCCCAGAAGCAAAUGAUAUGGGGUAGCCAUCAAGUUUUGACUAUGAGGCAAUGGCAGUCACAGGCAUUUAGUAAUUUUUUAAACAGCUUUAUUGAGAUAUCAUUUACAUGUCAUUGAGUUCCCUGCUUAGAGUGGUUUUUGGAAUAUUCACACAAUUAUGCAACCAUCAUCACAAUCUAAGUUUAGAACAUUUUUGUUCCUCUUAAAAGAAAUCUUGUUCCCAUUAAGCAGUCACUCCCUGUCCCCCUCUUCAUCCCGCCCCUGGCAACCACUAAUCUACUUUCUGUUUCUAUGGAUUAGCCUUUUCUGGACAUUUCAUAUAAAUAGAACCAGACAAUCUGUGGUCCUUUGUAACUGACUCAUUUUGCUCAGCAUAAUGUUUUCAAGGUUCAGCCACAUUGUAGCAGGAAUCAGAACUUCAUUCCUUUUUCUGGUUGAAUAAUAUUCCAUCAUAUGACUCUACCACAUUGUGUUUAUCAUUCCUCAGCUAAUGGACACCCGGGUUGUUUCUACCUCUUGGCUAUUGUGAACAGUGCUGCAGUGAACAUU